ACGGAGACGGAUGUAAACACAACCAUAAAUCCCAUUACCCUGCUAAAUACUGGGUCUGGAUUUAAAACACACACACACACACACACACACACACACACACACACACAAAGUAAGCAAGAGGCAAGGUUUCGGCAGAGUAAAUUGUCAUGUGUGAGACUGUGAUUAAGAUGUUUGCCAGCACACUCAGCCUCAAUGACACUUCAAGUGAUUUUCCACCAGCAUUCAUCCAUCACUGAGAAAAGCAUUCCAGGAAGGAAGCACUUGAAUGGAGUUCAUGUCCGUGGCAGACUGUAGCAGAUGAUGGCUUCAUAGACUCUUGUGUCUUCCCAGGACUCUCUUGUAAAGUGAAUUUCUCUUCCUACUGAACACAAGUGUCAAAUUCAAAUUAUCCUGGGAUAAGGCAGUUAGCACCCAUGUGUGAAGCCCAUCUGAUGAGGACCAAGGAGUGUGAUACCAUGACCACAAUUCUUGAAAACUAUGCCACACGACAGAAGGUGGAAUGUCUGACUUGAACCUAACCUGCCAAAGCAAAAAAGAGUAUAUGUGGAACUGAAUAAAGUUAUGGUCUCUAAGAGCCACCAGGGACCCAGAGGUAGUGCGUCCUUUGAGGAGAGCUGGAUGCCUGUCAUGUACUUCAGAGCAGGCUGGGAAGCACCCAGGGUGUCUUUUUCUUAUUAUGGACAUGGUUUUCCUCACUCUGGUUCUACAAGUAGAUGCCACAAUAAAACUGCCUCUGGACACUUCACACUCAAGCUGACGUGACCCUCUAACCACAGAAUUACCAAGUCAAAUGGACUGUGGCCCGCUUUGUAAAGCCUUCCACCUCCAUAAUUCAAUCAAAGAUAUCAGUAAAUGGAGUGAAAGUCUGCUCAUGGGAAAGAGCAACAGAAAUGUGGGAAAACUAAAGGCUUAAGUUUUAUGUAUGUCUUAGAUUGGUUUGGCAGAAACCCAACUUA
rnacentral:lncRNA from 1 species